AAAAAAAGAAAAAAAAAAAACUGCAAAAGGGAGUAGAGGGCUGGAUCCUGCUUCUCUUGCUGUCAGCGUGGGUGCUGACAUUAGUGUCUAAGAGUGAAGUAUCCAGCAUUAGCUAGAUGAUGAUAUGGUUACAGCAAAACAAGGUCAUGAUGUUCAGUGGAUCUGGAUUCCUGGAAAUAAUUGUCUUCAAGUGAUCUUAACAAAGCUUGCCAUUAAUGUAAUUGGAAACAUCUGAUUACUUUUUCCUCUUCAAAAAUAUUACAGAGUUUGGGGACAGUUAAUGGGUGAAUAUAGGAAAAUAACCUCUGUGCAUCCUGACAUUUUGCACUGUGAUUUUGAGAAAAAAGAGAAAGUGAAGUAUGUUGAAAGGAAGCAACAUUAGGGCAACCUCUGCCCCUCCAAAUUGAGAUGCUGGGAAUCUCAGGCUGCUUUUGGUUGGCACAGCCUGAGGUGAAUUCCCUUUCCAGUCCUGUAGACAGCAGCUUUAUGUGGGUUAGUUUAAAAAUAAUUGAUCUGGAAAUGCUGAAUGCGUUGACAAAUUCUCCACUUAUCACUAAUUUGGUGAGCUGAAUUUCCACUGACAGCAAAUGGAGCAGGAAGACCCUGUGCAAUAGGCAAAAGUAAUUCCGUACAGCUAGGGCCAAGCUCCAUUGGCACGGCUCUCCUUCAACCCCAGUGUACAGACGGGCAAUGGUGUGUGCAAGGGUCUGCUUGAUUAAGACGGGCAAGAAUCAUCCCAGCUACUGCAUUUUAGCUUUGUCUAUUCAUAGUUCAUUGGGGGAAAAGGAGUUUGGGGCUGGUAGGGCUUGCUUUUCUUUGUUUCCUUUGUCUGUUCACUUACCUUGAGUAUUCCACAUGCAUUUUUAGAAGCAAAGUCCUGUGAAGAUAUUCAGUGCAGUGCUGGGAAGAAAUGCUUGUGGGAUUUUAAGGUUGGCAGAGGUCGAUGUGCCCUCUGUGAUGAGCUCUGCCCUGAAAGCAAGUCAGACGAGGCAGUCUGUGCCAGUGAUAACACGACUUAUCCGAGCGAGUGUGCCAUGAAAGAGGCAGCCUGCUCCAUGGGCGUGCUUCUAGAAGUAAAGCACUCUGGAUCUUGCAACUCCAUUAAUGAAGACCCAGAGGAAGAAGAGGAAGAUGAAGACCAGGACUACAGCUUUCCUAUAUCUUCCAUUCUAGAGUGGUAAAACUUCCAUCACUAUGGGGACAGCCAUUGGGCACGAAAUCAAUGUCCAUACUGUAAAUAAGUGUAUGCUUAUUUAUUUUGGGGAGAAAAAAAAAAAGUAUACAUAUAGUUGAGUCUCGUAGACAUUUAUUUAUACUGUGUCAUGUUUUAUAAUUUAUACAUAAAAUGUCUGGUUGACUGUACACCUUGUUUUUUGAAGAAGUUUAUUCGUUACGGGAAGAGCAGUGUUAUUUAUUGUGAGGUCUCUUGCUUGUAAAGUAAAGCUUUUCUUUUUUCUUGUGAACUAUGAAAGUCCAUUCCUUAAAACUUACCUAAAAAGAUGGUUUCAUCUUUUUGUUUUAUUGGGGUUAUCUUUUUUCCACUUUAAAAAACUUGCAUGUUGGUUUCUGUUAUGUUUAUUUAUUGGAUUUUCUUCUUGCCGGUUCUGUACAUAAAAGACCCCUCGGGUUUUUGUUUACAAGGAAUCUUGACUGACCAAAAGGCGUUGUAAAUGACUUAAAUAUACUUCUAGGGUGCAGUGAGGCGAUCUUUAAGGAAACUUCUCCCACUUCACUUUUCUCUGCUUCUGAUCACAUCAUAUCCUGAUGUGAUCUCAAUGUGUUCUGCAUAUAUACUGUACUAUAAGAAUUCCAGACCCAAAGAAAUCGGAUUAUGAAGGUUGUUAAUAGCUACAGGGCUCACUGUAAUAAGAAUAAAGGUUUUAUUUUAUUUUUAUUCUUCUCUUUUGUAACAUGCGUGUUUAUCAGGUGUUUCCUUUAAGAUGGUCUUGCAGUACAACCUUCAAAGUUUUGUUUUCCCAAUCAGUGUGUCACUAAAAGUUAUAUCAAAGCUUUA